GUGAGGAAUUUUCCGCAAUGGGCGAAAGCCUGACGGAGCAAGGCCGCGUGAAGGAUGAAGGCCUAUGGGUUGUAAACUUCUUUUCUCAGAAAAGAAUUAUGACGGUAUCUGAGGAAUAAGCAUCGGCUAACUCUGUGCCAGCAGCCGCGGUAAGACAGAGGAUGCAAGCGUUAUCCGGAAUGAUUGGGCGUAAAGCGUCUGUAGGUUGUUUAAAAAGUAUUCUGUCAAAGAUUAGGGCUUAACCCUAGAUAGGCAGAAUAAACUUUUAAGCUAGAGUUUGGUAGAGGCAGAGGGAAUUCCCGGUGGAGCGGUGAAAUGCGUAGAUAUCGGGAGGAACACCAAAGGCGAAGGCACUCUGCUGGGCCAAUACUAACACUGAGAGACGAAAGCGAGGGGAGCAAAUGGGAUUAGAUACCCUAGUAGUCC
rnacentral:rRNA from 1 species